rnacentral:rRNA from 1 species
AUGUCUGAUAUCUGGAGCGUUGUGGGAUGGUGGGACGAUUGGCAGCUGCGCAUCCUGGUGCUAGGCAGCCUGGGCCUCCAGUGGUUCCUCCUGUUGGCUGCGCCCAUGCGCAAGUACACCAUCCCGCGCGUCUUCAGGACGUGCAUCUGGCUGGCCUACAUCUCCAGCGACGCGCUGGCCAUCUACGCACUCGCCACCCUCUUCAACCGCCACGCCAGGGGCAGCAACUGCGGCGGCGUCGAGCAGUCGGGCGUCCUGGAGGUCCUGUGGGCUCCCAUCCUCCUCAUCCAUCUCGGCGGCCAGCAGGAGAUGACCGGCUACGAGAUCGAGGACAACGAGCUGUGGACGAGGCACACCGUGACCUUGGUGUCCCAGGUCGCAGUCGCCCUCUACGCCUUCUGCAAGUCAUGGCGAAGCUCCAGUGACUGGAAGCUGUUGGCGGCCGCAGUCCUUCUCUUCGUCGUCGGCGUCCUCAGCUUCAGCGAGAAGCCGUUGGCCCUCAACAGGGCCAAGAAGCCUUCCAAGUGGAGGAAGCGCGUCAACAAGUUCUUCUUGUUCGAGGAGAGCAAUUGCUUCACCGGGAUGCCCACACAAAGCAGUGUCGGCGGCGGGGAAGAAGGGGCCGGCGGGAAGAAGGAGCAAAAACCACCGGUGGUGGCCCUGACGGAGGCAGACAAAGUCUUGAUGGUACUUUCGGACAUGUCACUGCUAGCUGCUGCCAAGGAUCUGGUGUCACGAAACAAAGCCGGCAAGGUGGAGGAUGUUCUGCCGCCUCUACCCGUCGCCGAGAAGGCCUUGCCGCGCUGGUUGCGCAGUGCAUUCGCCUUCAUCUACACCAGAGCUACCGUGGUUGUCACUCCUCUCUACCUGCUCUAUCAUCUGUUGGUGGUCCCUGUCCUGCACAUGGCCGCCCUGGCGCUGUUUGCAGCGAGCGACAAGCAACCGUAUCGGCGCGCCGACGUGAAGAUAACCUACAUCAUCCUGUGCCUCACCGCGGCGCUGGAUGUCCUGGCGGUGUUCAUCCGGCAGCUGCUGUACCGGCUCAUGUCCAUGACAAAGGUCCCAGCCUUGUGCGAGACGGUACCCGGCUAUAACCUCGUCGACGCGGCGCUUCGGGAGGGCGACAAGAGCAUCGGGUGGAUAUACAAGUGUGCCAGGCGCAUGGGCUUCAACUGCAAGGGUGGAUGUCUUUCUUGCAGGCCUCAACUUGGUCAACUGUACAAGAAGGUGGCACAGACAGUGAUCGCAGAUCUGGUGGAUGCACAGGACCGUGACCUUGCCAGUUACAGGAUCUUGGAUUCCCACAACUGGGCUCUCAGUAAGGAGCUGCAAGGGCACUGUGGCGAGGAGAUAAAAGAAAGCUUGAGCGUCUCGUUCGACCGAAGUGUCCUCCUAUGGCACAUGGCCUCCGAUCUUUGCUUCCGCUGCAUUGACGGUGCCGCAUUGGUCGAUGAUGGUGGUAAACAAGAAGGAGAAGGAGGAGGAGGAGCAGAAGAAAAAGUCGAAGGACUAGAAGCAGAAGCAGCAGCAGCAGAAGAAGAAGCAGUAGAAGAACAAGAAGAAGAAGGAGGAGGAGGAGGAGGAGGAGGCAGAGGGGAAAUAGAACAAGAAGAAGAAGAAGAACGGAAGAGUAGGGACCCGGCAUUACGGCUUCAUAUCAAGUGCACGGUGGCAAUAUCCAACUACAUGGCGCACCUGCUCAACUUCAACCCAGAGAUGCUUCUCACCGGCAGCAGGCACCAUCUCAUCUCCGAAGCCGUUGAGGAGCUGAAAUCCUCCUCUUUGUCCAAGAACAAGGACGAGCUAAGCCAGAAGGACGUCAAUGAGCUCAUUACCGGCAUACUGGACCGUGACACUAGUAGUAGUACGUCCCAAGAAGUUUUCCACAUCCUGGAGGCAUGCAAGCUCGCCAAGGAGCUGCUGGAGAUACGGGACCCGACGGCGCGGUGGAUGCUCAUGUACCGGGUGUGGCUGGGCAUGCUCUGCUACUCGGCCAGCAUGUGCAGGGGUUACCUCCACGCCAAGAGCUUGGGUGAAGGUGGGGAGUUCCUCUCCUUCGUCUGGCUCGUGCUCUCGCUCAAGGGGGCCAAGAGCUUGGCCGACAAGCUUCAGAUGCCGCCGGAGGCUUCUGACACGGCCAAAUCGAACGCGCCGCCGCCGGUUACUUGA